GGCAGCAGUGGGGAAUAUUGCACAAUGGGCGCAAGCCUGAUGCAGCCAUGCCGCGUGUAUGAAGAAGGCCUUCGGUUGUAAAGUACUUUCAGCAGUGAGGAAGGUGGGUAUGUUAAUAGCAUAUUCAUUUGACGUUAGCUGCAGAAGAAGCACCGGCUAACUCCGUGCCAGCAGCCGCGGUAAUACGGAGGGUGCGAGCGUUAAUCGGAAUUACUGGGCGUAAAGCGCAUGCAGGUGGUUUGUUAAGUCAGAUGUGAAAGCCCGGGGCUCAACCUCGGAAUUGCAUUUGAAACUGGCAAACUAGAGUACUGUAGAGGGGGUAGAAUUUCAGGUGUAGCGGUGAAAUGCGUAGAGAUCUGAAGGAAUACCGGUGGCGAAGGCGGCCCCCUGGACAGAUACUGACACUCAGAUGCGAAAGCGUGGGGAGCAAACAGGAUUAGAUACCCUGGUAG
rnacentral:rRNA from 1 species